CCCCGCCCCGCCGCCGCCGCCGCCGCCGUCGCGCGCCGCUUUCCCCAGUUCAGGCCUUGGGCCUCCUUGCGGAACCGCCGCCGUUGGGGAUAUCUUGAAAAUCUGUCCUUGGAUUAUAAAGCAGAGCUCUGUUGAAUACAAAACAGAAGAUUUUAUAUUUUAUCUUGGAGGUGAUGGAGAGCUACUGGAAUUUACUAAGUAUAGGGAUCCAUGAGACAUCUGGGACCAGGCUGAGAGGGGAGAGAAGAGCUGCUAUUCUUCAACAGUACCAGCUGCCAGCCCUUGCAGAGUGCAGAAGAGCCAGGUCCAACCAUUUCUGUCCAUUUCCAAACAUUUCUUUAUGAUUUUUACAAGUUGUAAUAACCCAUUUUGUGUGUGGGGGUUCCUAUUAUAAAUGCUGAAAAGUUAAAAGUCACUGUUUAGGUUAAAUCUCUGCUUCACAAAUGGAAUCCUGGGGCAGGAAGGGAUUCCCGAGUUAACAAAGAAUCAACACUUCUCAGAAACUUGGCAACAAAUCUACAUUCAGUACAAGGAUUCGAAAAGUGACAAGAACCUAAAGCUUGGUUUGUAUGACACUCUGGUUCAACUGAUUGUGGAAGGAUGACAGAUGAAAUUCAAGCAGCAUGCAGGCAUUUAAAUAGAGAGUAAUCCAAUUAGAUAAUAAGGAUGCUUAUGAAAGUGCUUCAUUCCUUGAUUUGUGAUUUUGGGUUAUGCAUCCAAGGUGUCUAACAUAUAACUUAAAAAAUGAAAGCAGGUAA